rnacentral:SRP_RNA from 1 species
CAGCGCUAGGCUGGGGGGCUAGGGACCCCUCCCCGCUCCAGUCUUCUCUAUAGGAGAGCCGAAUGCUUCCCGAGGCUCAAGCCACUUAUCUGGCCUUGUUAGGUAAGAACGUUGAUGUCCAGGACCCUCUGGGGCGGGAGACCCCGAACCGGGUCAGGCCUUGACCGGAGCAGCCCUAAGGGGCCCUUCCGUUGCCGGAGGAUAUCCUGGGCGGAGUACACUGCCUAACAAGAGGAUAAGCGGGCAGGGUCGAAGGAAGAAGCGCUG